AGAGUUUGAUCCUGGCUCAGGACGAACGCUGGCGGCGUGCCUAAUACAUGCAAGUCGAACGAGAGCGACCGGUGCUUGCACUGGUCAAUCUAGUGGCGAACGGGUGAGUAACACGUGGGUAACCUGCCCAUCAGAGGGGGAUAACAUUCGGAAACGGAUGCUAAAACCGCAUAGGUCUUCGAGCCGCAUGGCUUGAAGAGGAAAAGAGGCGCAAGCUUCUGCUGAUGGAUGGACCCGCGGUGCAUUAGCUAGUUGGUGAGGUAACGGCUCACCAAGGCCGUGAUGCAUAGCCGACCUGAGAGGGUGAUCGGCCACAUUGGGACUGAGACACGGCCCAAACUCCUACGGGAGGCAGCAGUAGGGAAUCUUCCGCAAUGGACGCAAGUCUGACGGAGCAACGCCGCGUGAGUGAAGAAGGUCUUCGGAUCGUAAAGCUCUGUUGAUGGGGACGAACGUGCCUAAUGCGAAUAGUUUUAGGCAAUGACGGUACCCAUCGAGGAAGCCACGGCUAACUACGUGCCAGCAGCCGCGGUAAUACGUAGGUGGCGAGCGUUGUCCGGAUUUAUUGGGCGUAAAGGGAGUGUAGGCGGUCUUUUAAGUCUGAUGUGAAAGCCCACGGCUCAACCGUGGAGGGUCAUUGGAAACUGGGAGACUUGAGUGCAGAAGAGGAGAGCGGAAUUCCAUGUGUAGCGGUGAAAUGCGUAGAUAUAUGGAGGAACACCAGUGGCGAAGGCGACUCUCUGGUCUGUAACUGACGCUGAGGCUCGAAAGCGUGGGUAGCAAACAGGAUUAGAUACCCUGGUAGUCCACGCCGUAAACGAUGAGUGCUAAGUGUUGGUCUCAUAAGAGAUCAGUGCUGCAGCUAACGCAUUAAGCACUCCGCCUGGGGAGUACGACCGCAAGGUUGAAACUCAAAGGAAUUGACGGGGACCCGCACAAGCGGUGGAGCAUGUGGUUUAAUUCGA
rnacentral:rRNA from 1 species